CUGUGUUAACUAACAUGGAAAUACUAUUAAGAUUACUGAAAGCCUGUUGCACAACAGCUGCAAAUAACAGCCUCUGUGGUAGUGCAUUCAACCUGUUUCUUACUGUAUGACUUGCCCUAAGGAUCCUUAGAUAGUUUC